rnacentral:rRNA from 1 species
UACGGAGGGUGCGAGCGUUGUCCGGAUUUAUUGGGUUUAAAGGGUGCGCAGGUGGCCCGGUCAGUCAGUGGUGAAAUGCGGCCGCUCAACGGUCGAACUGCCAUUGAUACUGCCUGGCUUGAGUGGAGUGGAGGCCGCCGGAACGGACGGUGUAGCGGUGAAAUGCAUAGAUAUGGGGAAGAACGCCGAUUGCGAAGGCAGGGGGCUAGGCUACGUCUGACACUGAGGCACGAAAGCGUGGGGAGCGAACAGG